GCUCCGGUGGCUUAGUGGUUAGAGCGUCCGCCUCGGAUGCGGGAGGUCGUGGGUUCGAUCCCAGGUCAAGUCA